CAUAAAUUGAUUAGAAUUGGGUGGGGUGCAUCUAUUGAAUAUGCUAAGCAUGGCUUGUGUGGGGAGUAGUGUAAGCGGUAGCAUCUGCGGAGCGGGAAUAAUUAAUGCCAAUAGAUGUUCCAACAUAUUCGGCAACAAAAUACCAUUAUUAACUAGCAGAAGAAGGGGAGUGAGAAUAGAAGCAGCAGAAAACAUGGCUGCGGAGAUAGCGGGAGUGAAGGUCAUUAAGAACCCCCCUGAAUCUAAACUCACUGACCUCGGCGUCAGAUCUUGGCCCAAACUCUGCGGAUAGCGGGACUUUAGUGCACCGGGCUGCCUUUUUUGUCUCCCAAGAGACUGAAGCUUGCAAAAGUAAUCGGUAUGGUGAAUUUCAAGGUUA